rnacentral:lncRNA from 1 species
AUGCAGCCCCUUGCCGCCCCCGCCCCUGGCACCACGUGCUCCGUCAGUCCCAGCCGGGGCAGGGGAGCUAGGAGGCCUCGGGCGUCCCGGGCCAAGGCCCCCAGCGGGUGGGGCGGGGCGUGCGGGGAGGGGCAGAACGGCCUCAGAGCGCAGGCCUCGGCCUCAGGCCCCGCCCCCCCCCGCGCGCUCUCGGUCGCCCCGCCCCCGGCUCCGCCCCGCCGCCGCCGCGGGCGCGCGCGUGUCAGGCGCCUCGGCAGCCGCCAUUUUGGAGUGAGUCGGCCCGAACCCCGAGCCCGCGGCGGAGCCGGUGAGGCCUGCGGCGGCGGCGGCGGCGGCGGCGGCGGCGGCGGCGGCGGUGGCGGCGGUGACGGAGCCGCGGAGCCCGAGGAGUGCCCGGAGCCCGGCGCCGAGGCCGAGGCGCAGCAUGGAUUAUUCCUUUUUGGAGCUUGUCGCGUUUCUUCCUCAAGGCCCUUCCUGAGUCCCCGACUGCAUGGGCGACUCGGGUUCUCCCCUGGACCCUUCCUGGGCAGGCUAACGCUGAGCAAUGUAAGAACCAGUGGAUUUGGCAGGGUGAUCCACAGAACCAGGGAAUGUGGUGCCUUAGAUUGGUUGGUUUAAGGCAAGGAGACUGGAGAGAAAUCUUUCCCUGAGUGAAUAUUCUCACAAAAUCACCCAAAUGUUCCUUUGCCUGAGGACAGGAUUUCAUCUUUGAAACAAGAAGUUUCUCCGGAAG